UUGCAGGUUAAGUUACGUAGCAGCUGUUGUAGUGCUGCUCUGUCGUUCCCCCUGCACACAGAAAAUGUUACCUACUAUCCCUGUCUGUCUGCAUCCUUCGACUGGCAGGGACGCUUGGUCUCAGACAU
ensembl:snoRNA SNORA63 Small nucleolar RNA SNORA63